rnacentral:pre_miRNA from 2 species
GUACAUGCGUCGGCCUCGUGGAUGGACCAGGAGCUCGACGUUCCUUAAGGCCGUUCUUUCCGACCCAUACAAGGUUCCGUCGCCUGCAUUGUUCCAAGAGUGUCUUGGACGAAAGCAGGAAGUGGAACCUUGUUAAGGUCGGAACGAACUGCCUUAAGGAAGUCGAUGCUUUAGGUCCGUCCACGAGGACGACGCAGCUAG